rnacentral:rRNA from 1 species
GACGAACGCUGGCGGCGUGCUUAACACAUGCAAGUCGAACGGUAAGGCCCUUCGGGGUACACGAGUGGCGAACGGGUGAGUAACACGUGGGUGAUCUGCCCUGCACUUCGGGAUAAGCCUGGGAAACUGGGUCUAAUACCGGAUAGGACCAUGGACUUCACGGUUUGUGGUGGAAAGCUUUUGCGGUGUGGGAUGGGCCCGCGGCCUAUCAGCUUGUUGGUGGGGUAAUGGCCUACCAAGGCGACGACGGGUAGCCGGCCUGAGAGGGUGUCCGGCCACACUGGGACUGAGAUACGGCCCAGACUCCUACGGGAGGCAGCAGUGGGAAUAUUGCACAAUGGGCGCAAGCCUGAUGCAGCGACGCCGCGUGAGGGAUGACGGCCUUCGGGUUGUAAACCUCUUUCAAUAGGGACGAAGCGCAAGUGACGGUACCUAUAGAAGAAGCACCGGCCAACUACGUGCCAGCAGCCG